CAGAAAAGCAAGGUCGACACAAUUCAGGCAUUCUUGAAAGUCAAGAUAAUCCUUGUCCUUGCAAAGAGCACUAUUUUUAUAGUUGUAAAAUUGAUUUAGCAAGCAGUAGGCAUUUAGAAUUGAAUGUGGAGUGGAGCUUUAUUGUUACAUGAUGACAUCACAUGCCCCACAUAUUUGUGCCCCCCCCCCCUGCAGGGUGGUCCGGGUCAGCGCAACCAGUCCAGCAGCAUGCAGCAGAAGAGCCAGGGCAACAAGUCCAGCUAUGGCAGCCCUUACUGGGCCAACUGAAGGGCACUGUGGUGGCACCUAGGGGAGUCUGUCCUACACAUCCUUAAGGCUCUGUGUGUGAAGCUAAACACACUGCCCAAACAUAACCCUCCUUCUCCAACUUCCCUCACCCCCAAAAGUCCUUACAUUUUCUUUCUUUUCCCUUUUUCAAAUUGGUUGUACAUGUAAGAUAUUUAUGUAUGUAUUUAUAUAUAUAAAUAUAUAUACUGUAUAUGUAAUAGUAGAACAAGAAAUGUGGUGGCUGCAUUUUUAUUUUUGAAGGACGUUUUUGUUCACUUUUUCAAAACUGCAGGAAGACGUUACAGCAAAAUCUGAACUCCUAUAGAGAAAUGGAAAGAGCUUUACCACUGAUGAAAUGAGGACAUCUCAGAUGGAGGGUUUUCACAUUAACAAACUGCAUUUGUCUCCUUUUUUAUACACAUCUGAGUGACCCAGCUAAUCCCACUUAUUUUGACGCUCUUUUAAAACUCCAUUUCAAUUUUGUAGCUGUAGAUCUCUUCCCUGUUUUCUGUUUCUGGUGGGGGGGGCUCUGGGGAGGGGGGCGCCUCUGUGCCCUCCCAGCAUCGAUCCCCCUCAAAGACUUGCCCAUUCAAAUUUUAUAUUUUAAUGUAAUUUUAACCAUCGUUUACCUCUAAAUAAAAGUUCUGCGCUGUAACUUUGUCUUGCGCAGAAGUUCUUUGUAAGGUUCUUUGUCUAUUGUCAAGGCAGGCUGGUCUUGGAUGUUGUCA
ensembl:lncRNA